rnacentral:rRNA from 1 species
CCAAUAGCGUAUAUUAAAGUUGUUGCAGUUAAAAAGCUCGUAGUUGAACUUCGGGGUUUACCCAUUGGUCAGGCUUAAUUGUCUGUACUGGUGAGAUAAAUCUCUACCUUCUGAGGAACUUUCAUGCCAUUUAUUUGGUGUGAUUGGAAAUCAGGACUAUUACUUUGAAAAAAUUAGAGUGUUUAAAGCAGGCUAACGUCUGAAUAUAUUAGCAUGGAAUAAUGAAAUAGGACGGCUUGGUUCUAUUUCGUUGGUUUCUAGGAUCACCGUAAUGAUUAAUAUGGAUAGUUGGGGGCGUUAGUAUGCAAUUGUCAGAGGUGAAAUUCUUGGAUUUAUUGAAGACUAACUACUGCGAAAGCAUUUGCCAAGGAUGUUUUCAUUAAUCAAGAACGAAAGUUAGGGGAUCGAAGACGAUCAGAUACCGUCGUAGUCUUAACCAUAAACUAUGCCGACUAGGGAUCGGACGAAGUUAAUUUUAUAAUGACGCGUUCGGCACCUUACG